GGGGACGUGGUUGCCCGACAGGUUCGUCAUCGGCUCCGCUAGAAGAUGCGCUGCCUAUGGCUACGUAAUAUCCGGGUCAAUUCCCUCAAAUUAUUCCCUAUUAAUUCACUAGCCCCAUGUAUUCUUUUACAAGCACCACCGCACUACGGAUCACUACCGCACAUGGCUGGUUCUUCUGUUCUAGCAGGUUCAUAUUUCGAGGCACCGACAUCCCCCGCAUACUACCUCAUGCUGAUGACAAUGCCGAACCUUGUAUGUAUCGCCACCGAUGACGGCACUGAUGUAGACACCCAUACAUCAGUCAAUGUCGAUGUCGAUG
rnacentral:lncRNA from 1 species